CACUUAUAAGCGAGAGGAUGCUAACUGGAUUAGUACUCUGGGAUAUUGGACGUGACUCACAUAAUUAAGCCCAGGCUAACUCUGUGCCAGCAGCCGCGGUAAUACAGAGGGUGCGAGCGUUAAUCGGAUUUACUGGGCGUAAAGCGCGCGUAGGCGGCUAAUUAAGUCAAAUGUGAAAUCCCCGAGCUUAACUUGGGAAUUGCAUUCGAUACUGGUUAGCUAGAGUGUGGGAGAGGAUGGUAGAAUUCCAGGUGUAGCGGUGAAAUGCGUAGAGAUCUGGAGGAAUACCGAUGGCGAAGGCAGCCAUCUGGCCUAACACUGACGCUGAGGUGCGAAAGCAUGGGGAGCAAACAGGAUUAGAUACCCUGGUAGUCCAUGCCGUAAACGAUGUCUACUAGCCGUUGGGGCCUUUGAGGCUUUAGUGGCGCAGCUAACGCGAUAAGUAGACCGCCUGGGGAGUACGGUCGCAAGACUAAAACUCAAAUGAAUUGACGGGGGCCCGCACAAGCGGUGGAGCAUGUGGUUUAAUUCGAUGCAACGCGAAGAACCUUACCUGGCCUUGACAUAGUAAGAACUUUCCAGAGAUG
rnacentral:rRNA from 1 species